rnacentral:lncRNA from 1 species
CCUUUGAAUUUUGGCGCUUUAAUUUUCCAAAACUAGCGGGAAUUUGAUAGCCAAUCAAAGGACAAUUUCGAGAAUUUGUUCUUAGCCAAUCAGGGAAGAGCGUUGUAUUGUGUGUAAACAAACAGUAAACAUAACCUCAUUUAUAAAAGGGAAACGGCAGGAAACGGUAAAAAAGUUCUAAACUAGUAAGUAUGUGGACAUCGUAGAUUAAUUUGAUACGGUACAGCUAAAUGCAUUAUCGUAAAAACAUGACCUACGAAACUUGAUCCACUUGUUUUGCGUACGCUAGUUUGGAAUCAAUUUCCCCAAGUUUCAUUCAAGCAUAGUGUUGUUGGUGUGACCUUUGUAUCCCUACCUACAUCCUCAACGAAUAACAUGUCAAAAUCGAAAGACUCAGCUCUAAAAUUCUUCCCUUCAAAGAAUGUGAGACCACUCUCUGGGGUUCUUGCUGCAAGAACAGUGACCAUUCCCCGAAGCAAAGGAAUGAGUUCACAUUAAGUUCUCAGGUUCAAAAUACAAAAACAGAAACUUCCUCAAAGGCUGAACAAGAUGUGUCUGAUGCUGCUCUUAAUGACAGGCUCAUAGAGGAUUCAGAGUUUCUGCUCCGAGCCACUUUAUUCUUACAAACCGCUGAAGAGCAGUUAAGUAGUAUCGAAUCUUCCUUGAAGCGCCCGAUGUAUCCAAGGAACUUACUUGGUCUGAACUUGGAGAAUUGUGAGGACAAAAAAUACGCCAAAGAAAUUAUAGGAGCUAUUUUAAGCGGUCAUAACUUGAAGCGAGAGGAUUUUUUUUCUAUACCCACUCGCCUGCAGCGACAGUCGGUCUCUGACAAACCACUAGAAGCACUUAAAGAAAACAGUCUGAAGCCUGAAUCUAAACUCAGUAGUAUCAAUAGAAAAAAAGUACGACAAUCCUCUGAAAAUAAAGUUGCAAGUUCUCAAAAGGAAUUGCACAAAUUUCUCAGAAUUAGUGGACAAGAAAACCUUAGUAGACAUCGAACUACUGACAAAGUGUCGCAGACAUCAAGCUCAACAGAGAUUAAUUUUCCAUCUCAAAGUACAAUUCCUGAGGACAGUAGGUCAGAAGCAAGUGAAAAGAGUCAACUGAUAGACAAGCCAAGGAAAAGCAAAGAGUAUUUUAUUUCUGGUGAAGCAAAGCAUGAGUAUCCUAUGCCGUAUCAAGUGACUAGAAAAAAAAUGACGAUAGAAGACGUUCCCAUCUGUGUCACCACUGACCUAAAAACACCUAACAAUGCAGCAUUGAUAAAUAUUCUCAGUAAUACCACUGAACCAGAAGAUGACAAUCCUACAAAAUCUAAACUUGCUAAAAAUUCCUUGAAAAUACAAGCAAUGCCAUCAAUAAAUAUUAAACCAGCAUUAAUCCAAGAAACUUUCACACAAGUUGAUAUUCAGCCGUGUAAAAGUUUACAAAAAGAGUUCGCUACCAAUAAAAAUGUAUCAUUCAUCGAAAUGGUGCACGAUGAAAAUAGCAAAAUAAUCAGGAAAGGAACUCCUUUUUCUGGAAAUACUUAUAUGGACGGAUUGAACAGAAAGCCAAAUUUAAACGCCGAAAGAUUGGUUCCAUUUAGAGAGACCAACUUGGAACAUGUUCCAAGGCAGGAGUGUGUCCCUAAGCAAGAACCUUUGUUGGUAAAAAAACACAAAAUUUUUAGGCGAGAAAGACUUGAUCAGAUCCUGAAUACUAUCACAGACAAGCUGACGGCUCAAAUUGAAAUCCCUGAUGAAAUUUUAGAGAACGCAAUUGAUCGAUUGUGGGUUUUGGGAGAUUAUCUUGAGGACAUGUACACAAACUCUGCAGGGAAUUUUCAUCAAAAAGUGCGCCUCAAUUUUACCUCAUUAUGGCUUCACGAAAUAGUUCGGUUAAUUGAUAUUGAAAUGAAAAGGAAACCGGACUCACUGAACACUGGGAUUCCAACUAUUGUCCAGUAUAUCAUUUCAGAAAUUCAAUGUGAAAGUGCAAUCAAUUAUCAGCAGUCUUGUAUUAUAGCAGAAGAGAAUGAUGAAAUUAGAUUUUACUGUGAGCAUGAUUCUCCUCUCAAUCUACAAUACAAGCACAAGCUUGGGAAUCAAUCAGUAUCAUUUCGGACGUCUUCCAGAAACAGUCCUCAGACUAGCAAUAGACCUCUCAUAAAUAGUCUUGCCUCAAAAGCAAAAGAACACCCAGAGAGUAAAAAAUCUCACAAUUUCCUUCUUAAAGAUUUUCAAGAGCCAAACAAAGCUGAUAGUGAACAUGUAGGGGCAAAUUUAAUUCCACCAAUUCUCAGUUCAAGCAGAAGCAAACUGACUUCAAAAACCGUACAUGGUCUCUCAAGCAAACGAAAUCUAGAAAAUUGUAUCAAAGUCGGAAGUCAGGACCAUUCUGUGCCAGAAAAAUUAGUCACCUCCAAAAUAAAAAAUACCGAUGGAAAAGAAACCACCUCCAAAAAUAACUUGAGCUAUCAAGAGACAAAUAAGUUUAUGAAUGCUGAUCAGCGUCAAAAAGUCAUUCAGAAGUUGGGUGCCGAAGUCAAAAAAAUGUUGAGUUGGCAUGAGCAAAUACAGCCUCGCAAAGACAUCAUUAGGCUGCCAAACCAUUCUGUUUCUCGCAAUGCUUGUAUAAGUGCAAGUGUUACUACUCCACCAAAAACUGCACCACCUGUAACAAUCCCUCCUCUUAUUUUACCCUCCAAGGAUGAAAUACACAAUGUAGAAAGUUGUAAUGAGGUAAUCGGUGCUGAGACAAAUUUUCAAGAAAUGGUGAAAGGGAUUGACUUCAAAGUUGCCUCUUCUUCAAGUGCCUCAUCAAAGUCUACUGUAACUGAUCAGGUCUCUCCAGCCAUCGCAAGCGGAGAAGUUGCCUAUGAUGAUGACUGGGAAGAGGAUUCCAACACUCCUUCUAAUACAAGUGGCUCCCAAAAUUCCUGCCACAAGAGAGAAAAUGGUAGCUCUGAGUCAAUGAAUUUUAAACCUGAAAAACCUGAACCUGUCAAAGGAAGAGAGGACAAGCAAGAUAAGCAAAAAAGAAACGAUGAAAUCUCUGAGAUAAACAGUAGCAACUCUACUCUACACGCUGAAAAAUCAAAGGUUUCGAAAGUCGAUUAUGAUAUAACCGCAAAGAGUCCUGAAAUAAAUUCAUCAACACCUGAGGCUGUUCAACUUCAAAGCGUAAAAUCUUCCCAGAAAUCACCAAACUAUGCUUUGCAAGAAGGCUACUCUAAUAACUCCCAUCCAAUUAAAACUUCAGUGUCAUCUGAAACUGACAUUGCAAGUGAUUUCGGUGAUCAAGAAAUCAGCAUUUUAAACACAAAAUCAGAUAAUGCUCAGAAUUCUGAUUCAGUCGGAAGAAAGUCUUGCGUCCCAUCCGAGGCUGAAACAGUGAAAGAUUUGAGCCAGCUUAGCAGUGAGGUGGCGGCUCCUCAGUCUAUGAGUCUACAUUUUCAGGAAAAUUCUUACAAAGAAAAUGACUCAGGGAUUGUCCAACAGUCACUAGAAUACAACCUAGCUAGCAGAAAGGAUGAUCUUCUUGACCAGGGAAAAAGGCCAGAAAUAGAAAAUUAUGAGCAGCCCAUGAAUGGCAGUUUGGCAUCCAUGAAACUGUCCAAAAGUUGCCAAGCGUUGGCUGAAAAUGUCUUGCGGGUAGAGGAAAUGAAGAAUGACCUUUUGAGAGCUUUUAUUAAAUCGGGAAAAGGAUCGGCACCUAUAGUUUCUUAUGCGCGAUCGUCACCAGACCUGGCAAGAAAACCUAGCAGCAAGUGGAAGAAUUCGAGACCAAAUUCGGCCCCUGAGUAUGAAUCUAUCAAUAUAGACAUGUGUGUUAUUAAAACAAUUAGUGUAGCAUCUGAAAAUUUACCCUGUGAAGAAGUAAAAAAAUGUGAAAAUGCAGUUCAGUCAAGAGCUGAUAUUUCUGAAAGAAGACCGGGGAAGGUAUCUCACACUGCUUUGCAAGCCAAAGAUUUAAAGCAGGCUUUCAGUGACCUAUCAUUUGAGCCAAGUGUUAAUGAAUUAAGUGCCCCGUCUCACAUUAAAAAACCGAUAGAGGCACUUUCGCGGCAUGAAAAUUUACAAAUGGACCAGACUUGUAGCAAUUUUUCUUCCAAGUCUAGCUGUCAUGUUUCAGGCACUAAGCUCAGUGCGCAGACACAUGUGGCACAUACUGAUUUAGCAAUACCCAGGCCUUUUUGUGAUUUAACAUCGAAGUCUAGCGCAAAUAUAUCACACACCGAACUUGUUGAAGAACUGUCAAAAGCAUGUUUUUUGCAAAAUGAUUUAGAAUGUAAGAACGUUUUUAGCGAUGUAUCAUCUAAGUCUAAUCGUAGUGUUUACGAUUUUGAAAAUGUUGUUCCAACCCCAUCAAAGGUGUCUUUGAGGAAGAAAGAUUUUGAAACAAACCAGGUUUUCAGUGAUUUAUCAUCCAAGUCUAGUGUAAGCUCAGUAGUCUCUGAGCCUGGCACUCAAAGCUCAGCAGAAGCUUCAUCAGCAUCUGAUGGCGUGCAGCCAGUUUUUGUUUCAAAAACAGCAAGUGAAAAAAGACAUUUAGAAGUCAUUGAUGAUAAGGAAGAAGUUAGCGAGAAUGAGACUUCUAGUGAUUUGAAUAUUGUCGAGAUGAAAGGAAACAACAUUGCUCAAUCGUUUGUCGAGCUCUCUAAUGAGAUCUUGAAACAUUUAAAAUUAGAAAGUGAGCUUUUAAUGCAACUUCAUCCUUCUGAUCAUGAUUCAGAUGCUAACAGCUCAGUGAAAUGGUCAGAAAAUGUAAUUCCAAAAAUUUCAAGAACUAAUCUGAAUUCUUCAGAAACUACGUCAAGUCAUUCAGAACUGGAAGUCGAUCAAGAUGACAUUGGGUUUUUGAGUUCAGAAGCGUCUGCAGAUUUUGAAUGCCUCAUGUCACAACUCUCUGAAAAUGUCAGGGAAUCCGUAGAGAGCAUGGAUGAGCUCCUAGGGGAUAGCGCUGAAGAAAUAUUAAGUGUUCUUUCAUCGGAACGAUUUAGAGUUGAUUGUUCCCAAGGAUUAGACGCCUCAAUUAAAGACAUUUUGUACAGUGAUGUUGUUGAUCCAAGCAAUUUUGUAUUGGAACGUUUUUAA